rnacentral:rRNA from 1 species
CCGCUAAGAACCCCUUCCGUUAGGGGGACCUGCGGAAGGAUCAUUACCGAGUUUUCGGGCUUCGGCUCGACUCUCCCACCCUUUGUGAACGUACCUCUGUUGCUUUGGCGGCUUCGGCCGCCAAAGGACCUUCAAACUCCAGUCAGUAAACGCAGACGUCUGAUAAACAAGUUAAUAAACUAAAACUUUCAACAACGGAUCUCUUGGUUCUGGCAUCGAUGAAGAACGCAGCGAAAUGCGAUAAGUAAUGUGAAUUGCAGAAUUCAGUGAAUCAUCGAAUCUUUGAACGCACAUUGCGCCCCUUGGUAUUCCGGGGGGCAUGCCUGUUCGAGCGUCAUUACAACCCUCAAGCUCUGCUUGGAAUUGGGCACCGUCCUCACUGCGGACGCGCCUCAAAGACCUCGGCGGUGGCUGUUCAGCCCUCAAGCGUAGUAGAAUACACCUCGCUUUGGAGCGGUUGGCGUCGCCCGCCGGACGAACCUUCUGAACUUUUCUCAAGGUUGACCUCGGAUCAGGUAGGGAUACCCGCUGAACUUAAGCAUAUCAAAAGGCCGGAGGAAACGAUAAUGAUUCU